rfam:Methylacidiphilum infernorum V4, complete genome.
GGGCUUGUGGCGGAAUUGGCAGACGCGCUAGACUUAGGAUCUAGUGGGUAACACCGUGCGGGUUCAAAUCCCGCCAAGCCCA